rnacentral:rRNA from 1 species
GACGUAGGGUCCAAGCGUUGUCCGGAUUUACUGGGCGUAAAGAGCGCGUAGGCGGCUCGUUAAGUGUGAAGUGAAAUCUCUAGGGCUCAACCCAGAAACUGCUUUACAUACUGGCGAGCUGGAGUGAUGAAGAGGUUUGUGGAAUUCCUGGUGUAGCGGUGAAAUGCGUGCAUAUAUAGGAGGAACACCGUGGCGAAGGCGGGUCUCUGGGCCGUAACUGACGCUGAGGAGCGAAAGCAUGGGGAGCGAACAGG